ACGGUAACUCGGAUAAUCGCUAUGCAGCAUGACUGCAUAGAGGAAAGUCCAUGCUCACACAGUCUGAGAUGACUGUAGUGUUCGUGCCAGACGAAACAAUAAGUCUGGGCAAUGAUAUUUUAUAUCUUGACGGCUGCGAAAUAUUCUAAGUGCUUACGCAUAUGAGUAGAGUAGCUUUAAAAGUGCCACAGAAACGAGCUUCUGAAGAAAUGAUGAAGAUGGAACGCGGUAAACCCCUCGAGUGAGCAAUCCAAAUUAGGUAGGAGCACUUUCCAACAGAAAUUCAACUGGCGGAGAGAUAUUAUUCAUUUAAUAUAGACAGAUGAUUAUCACCAAUGUGCGAGUGUAUACUAGUGCACGUCAGCAGCACAGCGGGACAGAACAUGGCUUAUAGAGAAACCGGACUA
rnacentral:RNase_P_RNA from 1 species